CCCUCCGUUUCCAGGAGACGGGAACACCAGCUUCGCCUCCUCGGACCCCACCUCUCCCGCAGCAGCGGCGGAUGCCAGGGAGCCCUGCCCUGUGGCCACAGAAUCGGGCGCCCGGAAAGACCCGGCCCCCGGGGACCUCCCGGCCCAGAACGUCGUGCGGCUCGGCCUGGCGCUCCUGGUCCUGGUGGCCCUCGCCUGGCUCCUGGCUGAAGACUGGCAGAGCAGGAAGAGGGCUCGUGCGAGAGCCCAGGGCGCCGCGGCUGUGGAGCGCAGGGCAAGGAGGGGGCACAGAGUCCCUGCGGAGAAGGCCGCGGCGCCCUUCCGCUUGGAGUGUGUGUGCGUGUGAGUGUGUGUGUGCAUGUGUGCGUGUGUGUGCGUGUGUGCAUGUGUGAGUGUGCGUGCGUGUGGGUGUGCGUGUGUGCAUGUGUGUGAGUGCGCGCGUGUGCAUGUGUGCGUGUGAGUGUGUGUGUGCAUGCGUGUGUCCAUGUGUGAGUGUGCGUGCGCGGGCGUGCCGCUCUGGGGGCGGGACCCAGGGCUUUGCACUGAGCCGCACCCCCAGCCCACCUCCUUGUUUAUCUGCGGGCACAGGCUCUUGCUGAGUAGCUCAGGGAGAGCCUGUCUCAAGCUAAAAACGAAAACAGGGCUGGGCCG
rnacentral:lncRNA from 1 species